rnacentral:tRNA from 1 species
GCCCGGGUGGCUCAGUCGGUUGAGCGUCCGACUUCGGCUCAGAUCAUGAUGUCACCGUUAGUGGGUUCAAGCCCCGCUUCGGGCU